CGGAUUGUAGGCUGCAACUCGCCUACAUGAAGUCGGAAUCGCUAGUAAUCGCGGAUCAGCAUGCCGCGGUGAAUACGUUCCCGGGCCUUGUACACACCGCCCGUCACACCAUGAGAGUUUGUAACACCCAAAGCCGGUGGGGUAACCUUUUGGAGCCAGCCGUCUAAGGUGGGACAGAUGAUUGGGGUGAAGUCGUAACAAGGUACC
rnacentral:rRNA from 1 species